rnacentral:lncRNA from 1 species
AUGGGAACGCAGCGGCCGCACUUGGCGGGUUGCCCGCGGUGGAGCGCGGAGCUCGGCGGGGCGCCGGGACGAGGUGAGGAGGGGUCCAGCCGCCCAGGGGGAGUCGGGGGGCCGCGGGCGUCCCCGGGCGGGCGCUGGGGGGCGCUGCGCGCCGGGCGGCUCGCCCCGCGGCAAGUUUGCCUCCAGCUGUUGAAUGCGCCCGCGACGGCGACGGCGACGGCGACGGCGGCGGCGGGACCCGGAGCCCGCGGGGUGAGCGGGGCGGGGGGCCGGGCGGGGCCGGGGCUCGGCGCUCCCCGCGGCCGCCGCCGCCGCCUCCCCGGGCGCUGCAGCUGCGGCGUUGGAGCCGGGCGGGCCCCCGCCCCGCGGCCGCGUGUCUGCGUGCGCGCGUGUCUGUGGAAGGAUCGGGCCGGGGGAGGGGGCGGGCGGGGUCUCGCUGCGGACGCGCCUGCGGACGGACGGACGGACAGACCGCGGGCCGCGGCCCCUGACGCACGCUGCGCUCCCACCCCGGCGGCGGCGGCCCGGGCCGGGCGGGCGGGGGCGGGGGGCGUCUGCGCGCACACGCGGGCUCGCAGACACACACACACGCACACGCGGGCCACGCCGCGCACACCCGCACCCGCGCCCGCGCUCACACUCACUCACACUCACACUCGCGCGCAGGCCCCGCAGCCGCCGCCGCCUCCGGAAGCGGCGCUCGGCCCGGAUCCCGGCCGGGCUGGAGAAGGAGAAGACCUGGGUGAGAAGCUGCUGCGCCUGAGCCAGACUGGGACCGAGACCCCGUUGCUCCUGCUGCCGCUGCCAGCGCAGGGCCUCCCUGAGACCAGGCCAGGGAUAGACCUCGUGGGCCGGAGGGGCCCCCUUAGCCUGCAGACAUCGGAGCCAGGAGACCCUCGGUUGAGAGACUCUAAACGCAGUGCCCACACCUUCAGGGUGCCACCCGGCUCUGCCUGGGGGAGGCCGGGCAGUCCCUGGGCUUGGUGGGGAACCCGCCAGAGACUGCUCUGCCCCUUGGAGGUCCCAGUGGCUCUCCUCUAA